CCGUUACUGCCAUACCACUAAAAUCCAUCUCUAAUGUCCUAGGCUAACAUCAAGUAGGAGAUACUGCUUUUGGUGCAGCCCUCAUAUAAUCUCCAGCCUGCAGAGCAGUACACUUCCAUUGGAUGUAAAUGAUGCCAAGCACUGCCAGAAGCACCCAGGUGAUCUUAAGGUGUCAGACCAUGGCUGAUGAAUUACAAGAGCACAAAAAAACAGCAUCAACAAAAAUCUGCAUCAGUGCAAUAGAUUCUGGGUCUCAGAAGCCCUUCCUUCUGAAUAUAGGAGCAGACUGACGGAGAAGGAUUCCCCUCUUCUCCUCUGCAGGAAUAUUGGUAAUCCCAACCUUAUUUUAAACCCUUGGUGAAGAAAUACACCUGCAGAGGUAUUGCAGAGAACAUGAAAUCAGUACCUGCAUGGGUUCCAGCUGGGUUGUGUACAGAAGACAAACAGGUUCUCUGGGCCCCAUCCCCUCAGGAAAAAAUACGAUCUUAUCUUGGAAAUACACCAGGCUCCACAGCAAAAGAGCUGCACAAGAGCAGAGAACCCCAGGAAACCCUCAUCACAUGGAGCUGCAAAUUUCACCAGUGUUUCUCAUCUGCUUCUUCAGGGUCAGUCAGCUUCAGAAUUUAACACUGGUGAGCACCCCAACACUUCCAUGUUUGUAUCUCUAGCCCAGCUGGGUCUCAUCUGUAUUCACCUGAAGGGAGCUCACUGAACGUAAAGAGUGUCCCAC
ensembl:lncRNA